rnacentral:rRNA from 1 species
CAGCCGCCGCGGUAAUACGGAGGGUGCAAGCGUUAAUCGGAAUUACUGGGCGUAAAGCGCACGCAGGCGGUCUGACAAGUCAGAUGUGAAAUCCCCGGGCUUAACCUGGGAACUGCAUUUGAAACUGUCAGGCUGGAGUCUUGUAGAGGGGGGUGGAAUUCCAGGUGUAGCGGUGAAAUGCGUAGAGAUCUGGAGGAAUACCGGUGGCGAAGGCGGCCCCCUGGACAAAUACUGACGCUCAGGUGCGAAAGCGUGGGGAGCAAACAGGAUUAGAUACCCCUGUAGUCCCUGUCUCUUAUAC